rnacentral:rRNA from 1 species
UACGUAGGCAGCAAGCGUUGUUCGGAAUUACUGGGCGUAAAGAGUGUGUAGGCGGUGUUCUAAGUCUGUUGUGAAAUCUCCCGGCUUAACUGGGAGGGUGCGGCGGAAACUGGAAUGCUAGAGGAUGGGAGAGGUAAGCGGAAUUCCUGGUGUAGCGGUGAAAUGCGUAGAGAUCAGGAGGAACACCGGUGGCGAAGGCGGCCUACUGGGCCAUCACUGACGCUGAGGUGCGAAAGCUCGGGGAGCGAACGGG